UACGAAGGGGGCUAGCGUUGCUCGGAAUCACUGGGCGUAAAGGGUGCGUAGGCGGGUCUUUAAGUCAGGGGUGAAAUCCUGGAGCUCAACUCCAGAACUGCCUUUGAUACUGAGGAUCUUGAGUACGGGAGAGGGUAGUGGAAUUCCCGGUGUAGUGGUGAAAUGCGUAGAUAUCGGGAGGAACACCAGUGGCGAAGGCGACUACCUGGCCUGUUCUUGACGCUGAGGCGCGAAAGCUAGGGGAGCAAACGGG
rnacentral:rRNA from 1 species